UAUCACUCAGCGGGUGGCGUUCGUAAUUUAUUGCUUAUGUUUUCCGUGUACUUUGUUGUCUGCUGGUUAGCAUCAAUUUUGAUUGUCAUAAAAAGGUUAAGGGGAUGUGGCUCCUUCGGGAGUGUUAUAACCCUUAGCGGAAUGUGGCGAUUGGGAUUGAGGAUUGCAACGAAUACCUUUAGGGCAGUUCCGUCUGGUCUCUUGUUGAUUUUCAGAUAGCAAAAGCUUGCUUUUGUUGUUUGAAUAGUUAGCAAAUAGAUUGGAAAGUGAAUUAAUUCGUUAAGGAUGCUGACGUA
rnacentral:rRNA from 1 species